rfam:Triticum aestivum genome assembly, contig: Triticum_aestivum_CS42_TGACv1_scaffold_147269_2BS
CAUGUACUCCCUCCGUCUGAAAAUACUUGUAAUUAAAAUGGAUGAAAAUGGAUGUAUCUAUAAUUAAAAUACAUCUAAAUACAUCCAUUUCAAUGACAAGUAUGUUCAGACAGAGGAAGUAAUGU